CAGGAUGAACGCUAGCGGCGCGCUUAACGCAUGCAAGUCGAGCGAUGAGGCUCCCUUCGGGGAGUACAUCAGCGGCAGACGGGUGAGUAACACGUAGAUAACCUGCCCUCAAGACGGGGACAACCGGUGGAAACAGCGGCUAAUACCCGAUAUGCUCACAGGAUCGGGAGGUCGAGUGGGGAAAGCGCCCCUUCGGGGGAGAGUGUUUGAGGAGGGAUCUGCGGCCCAUCAGCUAGUUGGUGAGGUAACGGCUCACCAAGGCGAAGACGGGUAGGGGGUGUGAGAGCAUGGCCCCCCACAAUGGGACUGAGACACGGCCCAUACUCCUACGGGAGGCAGCAGCGGGGAAUAUUGCGCAAUGGACGGAAGUCAGACGCAGCGACGCCGCGUGGGUGAGGAAGGCCUUCGGGUUGUAAAGCCCUUUUCAGGGGAGCGAGAAAGGACGGUACCCUUGGAAUAAGCGUCGGCUAACUACGUGCCAGCAGCCGCGGUAAGACGUAGGACGCAAGCGUUAUCCGGAUUUACUGGGCGUAAAGCGCCUGUAGGCGGUCAAGUAAGUCGGAUGUGAAAGCCCCGUGCUCAACGCGGGGAAGCCAUUCGAUACUGCGUGACUAGAGAACGGCAGAGGGAAACGGAAUUUCUGGUGUAGCGGUAAAAUGCGCAGAGAUCAGAAAGAACACCGAUGGCGAAGGCAGUUUCCUAGGCCGCAUCUGACGCUGAGAGGCGAAAGCUAGGGGAGCAAACAGGAUUAGAGACCCUGGUAGUCCUAGCUGGUAACGAUGGAUGCUAGGUGUGGGCCGGGAAGGUCCGUGCCGUAGUUUACGCGAUAAGCAUCCCGGCUGGGGAGUAC
rnacentral:rRNA from 1 species